UACGUAGGGACCAAGCGUUGUUCGGAUUUACUGGGCGUAAAGGGCGCGUAGGCGGCGUGGUAAGUCACUUGUGAAAUCUCUGAGCUUAACUCAGAACGGCCAAGUGAUACUGCUGUGCUAGAGUGCAGAAGGGGCAAUCGGAAUUCUUGGUGUAGCGGUGAAAUGCGUAGAUAUCGAGAGGAACACCUGCGGCGAAGGCGGGUUGCUGGGCUGACACUGACGCUGAUGCGCGAAAGCCAGGGGAGCGAACGGG
rnacentral:rRNA from 1 species